GGCCCCAGCCUGGCCCCCCCAGUCACAUUGGUCUAGAACCGCCACUGCCCUGUAGACUAGAGUUUUUGAUCACUUAGAGCACUUUGGAGCAAAACAUAUACACAUAUUAGUGGGUACUUUUUGUUGUGCUAUUCACACUAUCCCAGAGAUUGACCACUGGUGGCAGCAAUGAAGCAAGGAACAUUACAUUUCAUUUAGCUGACGCUUUUAUCCAAAGCGACUUACUUCAUUUGACCAAGAAGAUACAAACUUGAAGAAAACAGAAUCAUAUAAGUACAUCAGGUUUCAUAGAGCCAAAAUAUUUCAAGUGCUACUCAACUGGCUUUAGAUAAGCCAGUCCUUUAUUAGUAUAUAAGUGCUUUGUUAGUAAUUGUAUCGCUCGAAGUGGAGUCGAAAGAGAUGAGUUUUCAGUCCGUGCCGAAAUGUGUAAGCUAACCUAGCAUGUUGCUAACAAAAUCAAAGAAGAAAAAGACUGCAAACAAGUGAAGGCUCUGCACCAGACAACCUGCAGCUAGCAGCAGGAGGUGGGAGAAAGACACUUCCAUGAACAUGAUUUCUCACGUUCUGCUCACCAACGCUUCCCCUCCCGCACAAAGAGCUUGGAAUGUGGACAAAAGAGAUUUUAUAAAAGACACGGAGGACAAAACGAGCCAUAAAACCCAUUUACAGGUGAAUUAGCAGGUUGUUACACUGCAGGACAUCACAGACAGAUGUUCUCACAGGAACAGUGAAGAGGCUGUUAACCCUUUGUGUUCAGAGACGUUCAGCAUGUAUGCAGAAAAAGGCCUUGAAGGUACAAUAUGUACGGCAAGGUGAGUUCAUGUACAUUUCCACACAAGGCCAUUUUAAGAGGAUGGAAAACAAAAAAUGCAUAUAUAAACACAAGAAGUAAAAGUAAGAAUGUGCAUGUGAGUAAAAAGUCAAAUCAUAAAAUAGAUUUAAAAGGAAAAAGUUAAGUAAUGCACAAAAUAUGUAUAUUACAAUGUUUACAGUGGUUUAAUUGUAUUACUAAAAUAUACUUAAUUGUCUUUUGACUGCCUGAAGCAUAAUAAUAUAAGAUAAGAUGUACUUUAUUGAUACCAAUUUGAGAAAUGUUUGCAUUGCAGAAGCAUAAAAGUCAAGGCAUUGCACAUAAGAGAAAUUCAAAUGAGUAAAAAUAAACAAUUCUAAAAUGUAAACAUCUCAAAAUCGAAAUAAAACAGCAUUCAAAAAGUCGAAAAUAUACAUGUUGAAAUACCAAUUUCCCCCAGCGACUGAAAAUUACACAUUGUGCGUUUAAAGUUAAUAAUCAGCUAUUUUACUACCCGUUAAACUGGCAAAGUCACAUUCCCAUGCUCCUUCAUACCUUCAGUUAAUUUUUUACGACCCAUCAUGAGCUUAUGGCCGUCUGCUUCACUUCCAAAAGGAUUUUCCCGCUUCUCUCCGGCUCUGUGGCGACAGCAGGGGUUCGAUUAGAUUACAUGAAACAUUAAUGAUCCCCGCGGGGAACCGACAUUGUACAUCAAAGGAAAAUAGGUUGAAAAGAAGAAGAAAGCAAACAUACAGCUAACAUCUCCAACAUGUAGUUACCGAUGUUUAAAUAGGUGACAGUAUAAUGAGUACGAGUAGACAUUUCCUCCAUUUAAAUAGCUUUCAUGAUGUCUUGUGAAUAAUUCUCGUGUUAGCAUAAAAGCAUUUGCUGAUCAGCAUUAAACACAAACAACUGAGACCAGACUGUUCUCAUACUCUGUACCUAUAUGAACUAAUGCACUAUAAUACAAAAAUAACCCACGUAAUUGUGAGCCAGGACAAGUGAUGUAGUGUAAAAAAUAUAAUACAGUAUGUCAGGAAGAAGGUUGUUGGAACGGGUGUGUCCAAAAAUACAGGACUUCCCGUGUCAAACCAAAAGUCAACAUUGACUUAUUUGUUGUGUAACUUUCGUACUUAAAGGGUGUUAUGUAGCUUGUUCUGCAUGUGAACGGUCUGCAGAGUCACAAACCCUCAAAGUACACCCUGUAGCGAGUAAAACUCUAACACAGAGAAGACCUGUCUGUGCUGCCCCAGAAUGCCUCGUUGGACAUUUCUCU